GUCACCGGAAACAGCGCUGGCCUUUUGACUCGACACUACAAACUCUUGGAACCGAGUGCCUGGAGAAGGCUUGCUCAUGAACUUCCCCGGCGGGCUCCAGUGUGAGGAAUGUGGUAACCUGUGUGUCCUUGGCCAGUAAUGCCCUUCGGGCUUUCCACUUUUUACAGUAGAUUCUCUGUCAGAGGUGAUGGAAACCAAGAUUACCGAGGAGGAAAAAAAAAAAGCCUUGCUGUGGUGCUCAGCUGUGAUUCCUUUUCAUCAUUCACCCUGGAUGUUAUCUUCACUGUGGGAUGAGGUAGUAGGUUGUAUAGUUUUAGGGUCACACCCACCACUGGGAGAUAACUAUACAAUCUACUGUCUUUCCUAACGUGAUAGAAAAGUCUGCAUCCAGGCGGUCUCAUAGAAAGUCAGUUAACUAAUUGUACAAUAUUUAAGAUUAACUUGUCUUAAAAAGAUGUAGUGCAGCAUUUGUUUAUGGCCUGUAAGUUUAUUACUUUAGAGGUAAAGUCUGUAGCAAGUACACUGGAUGGGGGUGGGGAUACCUUUUGCUGCUUGUCUUAUUUCUCUGUGUCAGAAUAAAUGUAUUUUUUUUAUUUUGAUUGAUGCUGAUAAUUUUAUGUUGACAUUUUCUUUUGAAAGAGAUUGUACUUUCCAUUCCAGAAGAAAAGAUUGCUCUAUCAGAGUGAGGUAGUAGAUUGUAUAGUUGUGGGGUAGUGAUUUUACCCUGUUCAGGAGAUAACUAUACAAUCUAUUGCCUUCCCUGAGGAGUAGACUUGCUGCAUUAUUUUGUUUUUAUUUAGAUGAUAUUAAAACUCAGAAGAAUUAAUUUUGACUUUCUGUAUUUACGGUUUAUCAGUUAAUUUUCUCUGUUCAAGUAUAGUACAGUAAGCACAGAGAUUAACAUUUAAAUUUUUCACAUAUGGUAUAUUUCAGAAAUUUGAAGUUAAGCAAACAUCUUAAUGAGUAGAGAAAGUAAGUAGCCUUCAGGAAAUCUUAAUUAGAGGACCAGGCCCUUAUGGAAUUGUGAAUAGGUUUAUUGCCUUACAUCCUGGUACACGCGUCCAAGGUGAGGUCCUGGGUGGUAAAGGUAAAUACAUAUUGGAAGGGCGCUGUGUGAGCCAAAUGAGUCAGAUUAAUCAUGAUUCAUUUCCAGUUUGGGUUUUGGGUGGUCUUGGAGAAUGUUGUAAGCACUGCUUCAUUGAUAUGUUGAUUGAGCCAGACUUUACUCAGCAGCCUGGAAAAGGAGAGAUGGGCUCUGGGUUCUACCUUUGCUCACUGGUAAGUGCUAAGAUCUCAGCUUUGUCCUCAAACCCUGAAGUAGUCCUUCAUUCACACAGUGGAGUCACUUGAAAAUGUCAGAUGGGGAAGUCCAUAGGUUGUUGCUUUAAAAAAAAUAGAAAAAUUGCUGGAAAAGUUUUCUUUAAUUUUAACACCCAUGAAGGCCCAUGUUUUAGCUUUCCUCCGAUGGGUAAACCAUAGUCUUAACUUGGGUCUUGUCAUCAACAAGCAAGGCUAAAAGCUCUCUAAGUGCAUGUUGUUUAAACUAUUUUGUGUUGGAAAAGAGGCAGUGUGGAGGUGAGGGAGAAGUUCCUCCCUCUCCAGUCAUUUCCAAUAAAUGGAAAUUUAAGGAGAAGUUUUUGUUUAUCUUUAAUAUCUAAGAUAGUCACUGUGCAGUGCCAUUGGUACUCUUCAUGAGAGUAGCAACAUCAGACUUCCUUGGAUGGGCCCAACCCAGGUGACUUACUCUGGACCAAAUUUAUGCUUUUUGUUUUAUCCACUGUGGACAGCUGCAUAGAUAAUUGGUCUUUGUUCUAAACUGCACAUAAAAACAUGGGAGAAAAUGACAUUUAUUGCCUUUUGAUGUGCCAAAGAAGAGUGGGAGUGUUCUAAGAAUUCUCUUUGGCUUAACUUUUGUGAAUUGAAAAUAUGUAUAACUCUUUUGCUGAAAGUGUAGCAAGUACAGUCAUGAAAUUUUGUGGUUUUUCUGACACAUGUUCUUCCAGCAAAAUGUUGCCACCUUCAGUUGGAAACGUAUCUUUAAUAAUUAAACUAAGCCCUGGAGAAAAAUUAAUUUAUAUAUUUUAUUUAUUACGUAAGGACAUUAUUAGCUAAGCAGAGUAAGUAAAUUGAAACAAAACUUUAAAAGUGCCUUUAUGGAUAGAGUGACUAAAAACUUUCUAAUGAUGAUGAAAUUCAU